rnacentral:rRNA from 1 species
AUUGAACGCUGGCGGCAGGCUUAACACAUGCAAGUCGAGCGGUAGCACAAGAGAGCUUGCUCUCUGGGUGACGAGCGGCGGACGGGUGAGUAAUGUCUGGGAAACUGCCUGAUGGAGGGGGAUAACUACUGGAAACGGUAGCUAAUACCGCAUAACGUCGCAAGACCAAAGAGGGGGACCUUCGGGCCUCUUGCCAUCAGAUGUGCCCAGAUGGGAUUAGCUAGUAGGUGGGGUAAUGGCUCACCUAGGCGACGAUCCCUAGCUGGUCUGAGAGGAUGACCAGCCACACUGGAACUGAGACACGGUCCAGACUCCUACGGGAGGCAGCAGUGGGGAAUAUUGCACAAUGGGCGCAAGCCUGAUGCAGCCAUGCCGCGUGUGUGAAGAAGGCCUUCGGGUUGUAAAGCACUUUCAGCGAGGAGGAAGGCGGUGAACUUAAUACGUUCAUCAAUUGACGUUACUCGCAGAAGAAGCACCGGCUAACUCCGUG